rnacentral:rRNA from 1 species
GGAGCCGCAGGGAAACCGAGUCUUAACUGGGCGUUAAGUUGCAGGGUAUAGACCCGAAACCCGGUGAUCUAGCCAUGGGCAGGUUGAAGGUUGGGUAACACUAACUGGAGGACCGAACCGACUAAUGUUGAAAAAUUAGCGGAUGACUUGUGGCUGGGGGUGAAAGGCCAAUCAAACCGGGAGAUAGCUGGUUCUCCCCGAAAGCUAUUUAGGUAGCGCCUCGUGAAUUCAUCUUCGGGGGUAGAGCACUGUUUCGGCUAGGGGGUCAUCCCGACUUACCAACCCGAUGCAAACUACGAAUACCGAAGAAUGUUAUCACGGGAGACACACGGCGGGUGCUAACGUCCGUCGUGAAGAGGGAAACAACCCAGACCGCCAGCUAAGGUCCCAAAGUCAUGGUUAAGUGGGAAACGAUGUGGGAAGGCACAGACAGCCAGGAUGUUGGCUUAGAAGCAGCCAUCAUUUAAAGAAAGCGUAAUAGCUCACUGGUCGAGUCGGCCUGCGCGGAAGAUGUAACGGGGCUAAACCAUGCACCGAAGCUGCGGCAGCGACACUAUGUGUUGUUGGGUAGGGGAGCG